rnacentral:rRNA from 1 species
UACGAAGGGGGCUAGCGUUGCUCGGAAUGACUGGGCGUAAAGGGCGCGUAGGCGGCGGUCACAGUCAGAUGUGAAAUUCCUGGGCUUAACCUGGGGGCUGCAUUUGAUACGUGGUUGCUUGAGUGGGGAAGAGGGUCGUGGAAUUCCCAGUGUAGCAGUGAAAUGCGUAGAUAUCGGGAGGAAUACCGAUGGCGAAGGCAGGUCUCUGGGCUGACACUGACGCUCAUGCACGAAAGCGUGGGGAGCAAACAGG